AAGAUCCAAACGGAAACCCAGGCCACCAUGCAGGACCACAGGCCUGCCCGUCCAGCUGCCUCCCCGACUGCAGACCUGGCCAGCGCCCCCUGAAGCUCCUCCUCCUUCUUGGUCAACUGGACUUUGAGCUCAUCGACCUGUGCCUGCAGCUCAGCGAUCUGGUCCUGCAGAUCGGUUGUUUCCCCAUCCAGCUUCCGUUUGGCCUUUUCCAGUUCCUGUCGAGUUUUCUCCUCCUUCUUCAAGCGUUCUGUAAGGCAGGACAGAAGCAGCCCUUCACCACACUGCAGAGCACACACAUGAACGUCCGGGCUAUGAAGACUGAGUAUGUUCUUCAGCGUGGGGAAGCUGCUGCUUUGUACAGCAGGAAGAUCAGGAUCUCCCCUUCGCAGGGAACAAAGGAAAAGCAUCCUAUCAUAUCGGCAUUCUCAUUCAUGUUAAGGUAUGUUUGGACAGACAGACAAAAAGGGUAAAGGUCAGCGAUAAAUACCUC